UACGAAGGGUGCAAGCGUUACUCGGAAUUACUGGGCGUAAAGCGUGCGUAGGUGGUUUGUUAAGUCUGUUGUGAAAGCCCCGGGCUCAACCUGGGAAUGGCAAUGGAUACUGGCAAGCUAGAGUGCGGUAGAGGGUAGUGGAAUUCCCGGUGUAGCGGUGAAAUGCGUAGAUAUCAGGAAGAACACCCGUGGCUAAGGCGGUUCUCUAGUACGGUACUGACGCUGAGACGCGAAAGCGUGGGGAGCGAACAGG
rnacentral:rRNA from 1 species